rnacentral:rRNA from 1 species
AUGUACUAUUCUGGGGUCACCUGUUACAACUGUGGUGAUCCUGGGCACCACAAGGACAAAUGUUCUAAGCCCAAGUGCUGCUUUAUCUACCAGAUGAUUAAUCACAAGGUAGAGGACUGCCGAGUUAGGAAGAAGCCACAUUCAACAGCCAAGUUUAUGGGCAGUGCUGCGCCAGGGCUUGGUUUCUACCACCUAGAUGCCCCUGACGUGAAUGCCCAACACUCUGGGUGGCUAAAGAACGUUGUCAUUGUCUUUGUAGAGGCUAGGGAAGUCACAAAGCAGGAACUGGCAACAGAAUUUGCUAGCAUCUACAAAACUAAUUGGCCUUGGCCCAUCAAUGCUCUAGAUGAGUGGUCUUACCUAGUCCAAUUCCCUCCUGAGAUUGAUGUUGAACAAGUGGCUGGAUACCCCUGCUUUGGACUGUCAAAAGAUAACACUAUAGUAAAUGUAGAAGUGUGGAAAGGGGAGAUUACUGCUGCGGAAGAGUUGCAGAAGGUCUGGAUCAAGUUAAGAAGAAUGAAUCCAAAGUGGUGUGAGUGGUCACUGCUGGACCAAAUCACAUCCACCUUUGGUGUCCUGCUGGAUGUUGACUGGCAACACAACUUCCAGAACUUCUAUGAAACAAUCAGAGUCAAAAUAGCCUGUAAAGACCACUCCAGGGUGCCAAAAGAGAGAGUAUUUGGAAUUCAUGGGAAGUUGUACAAGAUCAAAGUUGAGGUGGAGCCACCAAGUGCUGAUGUGAAUGAGCAGAGCCAAGGGCAAACCACAAGUGAUCAGCAGAAUGGAGGGACUGACAACAACCACAACAAUGAAAAAAGUGAUGAUUUUGCUUCACGUAAAAGUUCCAAAAGCUCAGAUAAUGGAUCUAGAACCAGCUCUAGUAGUGGGAUGACUAGGAAGACCAACCAAGAUCCCUGCCAAGAUGAGGUGGAGCCCCCCACCCCAACUACUCAGCUGAAGAACAAGUUGCCAGAAUCACUACAGAACCCUAAGAAAAGUGCAAUUGAUCUCCUGCUGGAAAUGGGAACCUUGAUGAUGGUUUCAGCCUUCUGA